GCAUGGUUUCAUUAUUAAAGGAUUCCGGUAAAGGAUGGGGAUGCGUUCCAUUAGGUUGUUGGUGAGGUAACGGCUCACCAAGCCUUCGAUGGACAGGGGUUCUGAGAGGAAGGUCCCCCACAUUGGAACUGAGACACGGUCCAAACUCCUACGGGAGGCAGCAGUGAGGAAUAUUGGUCAAUGGGCGGUAGCCUGAACCAGCCAAGUAGCGUGAAGGAUGAAGGCUCUAUGGGUCGUAAACUUCUUUUAUAUAAGAAUAAAGUGCAGUAUGUAUACUGUUUUGUAUGUAUUAUAUGAAUAAGGAUCGGCUAACUCCGUGCCAGCAGCCGCGGUAAUACGGAGGAUCCGAGCGUUAUCCGGAUUUAUUGGGUUUAAAGGGAGCGUAGGUGGACUGGUAAGUCAGUUGUGAAAGUUUGCGGCUCAACCGUAAAAUUGCAGUUGAUACUGUCAGUCUUGAGUACAGUAGAGGUGGGCGGAAUUCGUGGUGUAGCGGUGAAAUGCUUAGAUAUCACGAAGAACUCCGAUUGCGAAGGCAGCUCACUGGACUGCAACUGACGCUGAUGCUCGAAAGUGUGGGUAUCAAACAGGAUUAGAUACCCUGGUAGUCCACACAGUAAACGAUGAAUACUCGCUGUUUGCGAUAUACAGUAAGCGGCC
rnacentral:rRNA from 1 species